AUACGAAGGGGGCUAGCGUUGUUCGGAAUCACUGGGCGUAAAGCGCAUGCAGGCGGAUCGUUUAGUCGGGGGUGAAAUCCCGAGGCUCAACCUCGGAACUGCCUCCGAUACUGGCGAUCUUGAGUCCGGGAGAGGUGAGUGGAACUGCGAGUGUAGAGGUGAAAUUCGUAGAUAUUCGCAAGAACACCAGUGGCGAAGGCGGCUCACUGGCCCGGUACUGACGCUCAGGUGCGAAAGCGUGGGGAGCAAACAGGAUGAGAUACCCUGGUAGUCCACGCCGUAAACGAUGAAUGCUAGCCGUUGGACAGCAUGCUGUUCGGUGGCGCAGCCAACGCAAUAAGCAUUCCGCCUGGGGAGUACGAUCGCAAGAUUAAA
rnacentral:rRNA from 1 species